AUAUACAAAAAUUUCCGAGCCGCAGCAUCUAAAGGCACUGCCCAUGAAGCUGCAGCCGAUGGGUAUGGAGAGAAAUUUCCUUGCCUCCCUGUUGGAAAGGAAAUGCUGUUUUGAUCUA
rnacentral:ncRNA from 2 species